rfam:Clostridium sp. DMHC 10 contig_1, whole genome shotgun sequence.
GUUUCAAUUCCUUAUAGGUACUCUGAAAGC